UCCAGUGACCAAGAUUCCAUCUGAUGCUCUGAGACAAGCCCUCAUAGAUUAUGGGCGGAGUAUGGGGGUGUGGCUUGAGACUGUGCCCAGGGAAACACCACCCUCAGAGCUUGCGUACACUGGUGUCCCAUACUUCCUGGCAGAGUUUGAUGAUGGGGGAAAUGUGUUCACAAGACCAUUUUCUCACCAACUUACACAGACAAACAACCAGAUCACUGAAUAUAAGUUAUAGUAUGUUUCUACUACUUUGAGCUCAUGAGGUAAACAGCACUCUCAAGUGAGUAGGUAAGAACAUAUCCGUGAGUCUCGUCACACCAACAAUGCACACCUCUAACCUUUCUAUUGCAUACUCAGCAAAUGUCUCUUCCACAAAUCUGUCAUCAUACCUAUCGAGUGAACACACAAACUGUUCUAGUUCCUGGAACAAUACGUACGGACGUUUCUCUCUCACAUUUGAAAGGGAGGUGUUGGCUGCUCCUCUCAUUCUGAAUCUGCCCAAUCAGAUCAACUAGAAGUCGUGUCUGGCAACAAAAGACGAGGAGACGAAAGCUGCUCUAGAAAGAAAUUUAACCAUUAAUUUUUGAUUUCACCGCUGACAAUGAUGAUCACUUUCAAUUCCAUGCAAUUCCCCUUUCUCAUUCAUCAUUUCAAAUUCUCACUUGCUAUAACGUUU